rnacentral:rRNA from 1 species
AGUAACGCGUGAGGAACCUGCCUCAAAGAGGGGGACAACAGUUGGAAACGACUGCUAAUACCGCAUAAGCCCACGGCUCGGCAUCGAGCAGAGGGAAAAGGAGCAAUCCGCUUUGAGAUGGCCUUGCGUCCGAUUAGCUAGUUGGUGAGGUAAUGGCCCACCAAGGCGACGAUCGGUAGCCGGACUGAGAGGUUGAACGGCCACAUUGGGACUGAGACACGGCCCAG